rnacentral:rRNA from 1 species
CCUACGGGAGGCAGCAGUAGGGAAUAUUGCUCAAUGGGGGAAACCCUGAAGCAGCAACGCCGCGUGGAGGAUGAAGGUUUUAGGAUUGUAAACUCCUUUUGUGAGAGAAGAUAAUGACGGUAUCUCACGAAUAAGCACCGGCUAACUCCGUGCCACCAGCCGCGGUAAUACGGAGGGUGCAAGCGUUACUCGGAAUCACUGGGCGUAAAGAGUGCGCAGGCGGGCUUGUAAGUCAGAUGUGAAAUCCUGUAGCUUAACUACAGAACUGCAUUUGAAACUAUGAGUCUAGAGUGUGGGAGAGGUAGGUGGAAUUCUUGGUGUAGGGGUAAAAUGCGUAGAUAUCAAGAGGAAUACUCAUUGCGAAGGCGACCUACUGGAACAUUACUGACGCUGAUGCACGAAAGCGUGGGGAGCAAACAGGAUUAGAUACCCCUGUAGUC